rnacentral:piRNA from 1 species
UCAUGUGCUUCAAUACAAUUCCUAGUUGGGAC